CUAUGCUUCCCUGGUAAAAAUGCACUCUAAAUGUAUUUGGCGUGUGCCCAAAGCUCCCCUGCAUGGGUCAGAGCAUGAUCCACCCCCUUUGAGAGGCACAGAGGGAGCUGAUCCUGCUCCUUGGCCUUCCCUCUCUGCUUGGUUUUCUCAACAGGCAAUGCCAAGGAUUGAACCCUGGAGCUUCUGAAUGGGAAGGACUUUCCCUUCCAGCGGCUGCUGAGCUACAGACAGUCUUCCUGCAUAGCUUUCUAAGGGUUAAGGGGAACUGAACUGGUCUCCUAGAGAGGAAGGGAAGCGGGUGGAGUCCUCCAUGGCAAUGCAUUCCCCCCCCCCCUCCAAAAUCCUUCCUGCCUGGCUUUGGACUUGGGGGGUGGGAGGUGUGAAGGUGGCCUCUGUCUCUCCCAAGAUCCCAUCAAGGGGCCCUUCUGAGAUUUGGAUUCAAUGGAUGAAAAGGACACCCUAACCUCAGAAGUCCAGUGCCAGCAGUUCAGACAAUUCUGCUACCGGGAGGCUGAGGGUCCCCGAUAUGCCUGCAGCUGACUUUACAAUCUCUGCCAUCGGUGGCUGAAACCAGAGCAACACUCAAAGAGUGAGAUAUUGGACCUGGUGAUCCUGGAGCAGUUCCUGACUGUCCUUCCAUCAGAGAUGGAGAGCUGGGUGAGGGAAUGUGGAGCGGAGACCAGUUCCCAGGCGGUGGCCCUGGCCAAAGGUUUCCUCUUAAACCGGGCAGAGGAGAAGAACCAGGAAAGGCAGCAGGUGAGAGUGGCAACCAUCAAAAUCUCUUGGCAACCAUCAAAAAUUUCACCUGUGGAAAACACCAUUGAAGUGCUUGGAAUGCGGAGACUAUUUUGACAAGGUCAAGUCUCAUUUUGCAUCAGAGAGUUCACGCUACGGAGAAACCAUUUAACAAUUUGUCAAGAGCUUCAGUCAGAGGUCCCAUCAAACAAGCAACAGCAGGGAGAAACCAUAUCAAUGGUUGGAAUGUGGUGACAACUUUGACAGGAAGUCGAGCCUCGUUUUGAACCAAAGAAUUCACACAAGGGGGAAACCGUAUAAAUAUCUACAGA